rnacentral:lncRNA from 1 species
CCCUUUGCAAAUGAUGAGGUGUUUUUUUUCACACUGAAUUCAUGCUGCAUGUCAUGCCUGGUUGCUACAUACACCUGAUGACUGGGGAAACCUCUACUCUUUCCUAGAUAGGUUCCCUAUAAAUAUUUUAAAGUCACAUCUGCAUGGUUAAAAAUGUCAUACCAAAGCAUUUACAUGAAUGAUACAUCCCUGAAUCAACUUUGUUCCUAAUAUAGGUCCAGUGAUGGCAAUGCAGCUUAAUCCAUGCAUUUGGGUAGCUGAUUCAUUCCAGAAGAUAAGGUGCUGAAGAGAAAAAUUAGUGUGUUGUCUCCUUUUAAAUUGGUUGAAUCAUUGAAACUUCUGGCUUGGCAGCUAAAAAUACCAGCACAUGGGAAGAUUAUUAGAAGUGUUCUGGUAAAGAGGGCUUUCAACAGCAAAGCCUGCUGGCCUCUCACCUUGCUGAGAAGAAGAUGAGAAUCUAGGGAGGAGCCAAGAAGGGCUGAAAACAACAUGAGAAACAGACAGCUGGAGGGUCAGAGUGUUCACAGGAGGAUCCUCACUGUUGGUGGAUGCAGACUUGUCCCUGUUGCAGACCUGGCUGGUUGUGGAAGAGGAGCUGGGGACACCCACAGAAACAUCACUGACAGCACAGAUCAAAAAAGCAAGCCCAAGUGCACUCUAGGAAUGACAUCCUCUGGAACAGGACCUUUCCUGAGGGAAAUAAUGCUUGGAGGAGGUUGCUGGCCUGGGGCAAAGAUUCCAGCAUUCAGAUUUCCCUACCAUUCAUCAACUUCCAGCUAAACGUCUGCUUUAUGCUGAAUGAGCUUCAGUGACUUAUUGAAGAAUUGCCUUAGAAGUCUGUGGUAGAUUCAGGGAAUGAAUGCAUCUCAGAACUUUGUAGAAAACGUCUCACUGGCUGCAACAAGGUAAGUAUUUUAUCCAAAGUUUUCCUGUGAGCAUUGAUUAUGUGCAACAUAGACUGUCCUCUGUUGAAAAUAAUAUUAUCCUUGAAAUUUAUCUUGGUUUCACAGACCAAAACAAUUCUACUCAAUUCCUUACUCAGCAAGCAAUUCUUCAUCUUGGUUGUUCACCAAAUCAUUCAUUUUCAACGCAUAUUAACAAUCUGUACAAGUCUGAGACAAAAAUGUAGUAUCACCAUAGUAUCAGUUGAGGAUCAUUAUAGAACAAUCCAAAACCUUUUUUUUUUUUCCAGUUGUUAAACUUAGUUAUAAAACUUGAUGUUAAAUAUUUUGUAAAUUUAGUUCUUUGAGAAUAAAAAUA